AGGGUCGCAUGAUCUUUGCUAAAAAAUAUAUUAUAAUGAUGUCCGGGUGUCCGUGAACGCGCCUUGCCUGUGUGCUAUUCGCUUGCCAGGCCACUAGGAGGUGCAAGAGGCUGGUCUUUAAAAGAAAUGGUCCUACCGUUAUUGUUAAACUUACCUGCUAGCUGUAACUUGUUUGAUUUCGUCCAGGUCCACAUAUAAAUGCUCUGAUUCAACUCCCCAGAUAUGACACCAUGACACACACGUUUCCUCACAUCAUUUGGAAUUAUGGAUACAAAUUAGCACUGUUAGAGCUAACAGGUUAAUAACGAGUUCAUUGAAAUUUACUUUUUUACCACACUGUAAAUUGAGGAAGCGCCACGAGACCAAAUAGGGAGCAGGAAUUGACAAAGAAAUUGCUGUUUUGAAUGCUGUUGCUGUGAGGUGAAUUGGCAUGGAGGACGUCGUCUCAAAUGCUGGCGACAGGAGAGAAUGUGCUGGAGCAGUCCAGGUUGGGGUAACCAUAUAAACCCUGACGGUCUCUCUACCAGCACCUUCAUGAAGAGCAAUGUGGGGAAGACCUCCAGAUCCAGCAAGUCGUAAGGCAUCUGAUUGUUGCUUUGUCUCCUGACCGGCGUUGCAUUGCAGCUUACCAUGUUGCCGGCGUCAUGCUAGCAUCCUUCUGACUUAUUUAGCUUUAUUCCCUCCAUCAUUGUGGAAAACAACAUGGCAGUGUGAUGAACCGGAACUUACCAAGAGUGGAAACCAGCUUGUGUAGCAUAUGAAGAGUCGGCAAACUGGUGGCGUCAAAAGAAUACUCUUUGCAAAUAAGUGAGGAGAGACAAAACAGAUUUUGUAUUGUCUGCGGAUUAAAAAAAUAUUUUUCAAACAUUUCCAGAGUGUUCAUAAACCACGUUCUCCAGACCAUCUUAGAACUUCUCCAAAAUUCUAAAGGAUUCACACACGUUCUGUUCUGGCUCCAAUCUCCAGAGUUUAGUCUUGUCGUUUCACGCCUCAGACACUAGAGGGCGGUGGCGCCAUCCCACAGUUGAAAGCAAGUCCAGCACCCUCGAAGGCCACUCCCAUUUGGAUGAGUGCAAAACGAAGAGACAAUCAACAGUCUUCCGGAGAACACGGCCAGAGAAGUCCCAAUGUUCCUGGAGAGCAGAGUGGUCCACACCAGUUUGUUCAUCGACUGAGCGGCAAGAUGAACGACCUCGGAGGCUCAGCGAGUCCCAGCUUAAUGACGACGAGCAUCGACACAAAUGGCAGUGUUCACUUCCAUCCUCUCUUGACCGGGUUGUGCAUCGGACUUGACGACGUGCGACGCUAACGCAAUCCCUGGGAUCAGCAACAUGGCUGACUCGGGACAAAACAACAGCAAUGAAACAGCAGUCAGUUCACCGGCUUCUCGUCAAGAAUCAACCAAUAGAAACAUUCGUUCUGUUGUGGGCCGAGUCACGUCAAGAGGGAGGA